UCUUAAACCUGGUCCAUGCGCACCCUUAUCUCCUCUUGCUGCCUCAUACUCGACCCAAAGAGAUUCCCUCGCUCUCACACACCCAGUGAUGCUGGCCAUCUCGCCGCGCCAAUGGCAUCCAUCCCCUCCCUCGCCGUCUCCGGCGCCGCCACUGCCGUCGCUGCCAAGCCCCCGCCGAGCUCCGCCGGCUUCGACAAGGGCGGUUCUCAUCAGAGGAGCACCCAAGCAGCGGAAAAUGGCAGAUUGGAGACCGAGAGCCCCCCUCGGCCGCUAGAUGCCCUGGAAGCAAUGAGCAUGCUGAAAGACGGCCGGACGGUGCAGUCAGCGAUGUACGUGCCUCUGCUUCACCAGUGCGUCCAAGCCAGCGACCGAGGGGGCCUCCGCACCGCCAGGGCCCUGCACGGCCACAUGGCGAAGACCGGAACCGUCGCGGACAUGUUCGUGGCGACGUCCCUGGUGAACGUGUACAUGAGGUGCGGGGCGAGCCGGGACGCGCGCAGGCUGUUCGACGGAAUGCCCGACAAGAACGUGGUCACCUGGACGGCGCUGAUAACGGGCCACACUCUCAACUCCGAGCCGGCGCUGGCGCUGGAGGUGUUCGUCGAGAUGCUCGAGCUGGGGAGGUACCCGUCGCACUACACGCUGGGCGGCAUGCUGAACGCGUGCUCUGCCGCGCGCAGGAUCGACCUGGGCCAGCAGGUCCAUGGCUACUCGGUUAAGUAUGGGGCCGAUACCAUCACGAGCAUGGGCAAUUCACUCUGCAGGAUGUACUGCAAGUCUGGAGACUUGGAGUCUGGCCUGAGGGCCUUUAAGGGCACCCCUGACAAGAAUGUGAUCACCUGGACGACGAUGAUAUCGUCCUGCGCCGAAGAUGAGAACUACCUGGAGCUUGGGGUGAGUUUGUUUCUUGAUAUGCUCGAGGGAGGGGUGACGCCGAAUGAGUUCACGUUGACUAGCGUCAUGAGCUUGUGUGGCACGAGGCUGGAUAUGAACCUCGGCAAGCAGGUCCAGGCUUUCUGCUACAAGGUUGGGUGUGAAGCGAAUCUUCCGGUGAAGAACUCCACAAUGUACCUCUAUCUCAGGAAGGGCGAAACGGACGAGGCAAUGCGGUUGUUCGAAGAGAUGGACAGCAGCAGUAUUAUCACGUGGAAUGCAAUGAUCUCCGGGUAUGCUCAAAUCAUGGACUCGGCAAAGGAUGACCUCCAUGCUCGUUCCAGAGGGUUCCAGGCACUCAAAUUAUUCCGUGAUCUCGUGAGAUCUGAAUUGAAGCCAGACUUGUUCACCUUCUCAAGCAUCCUGUCAGUAUGCAGCGCCAUGAUGGCCUUGGAGCAGGGCGAGCAAAUCCAUGCAAACACGAUAAAGACUGGAUGCCUGUCGGAUGUUGUUGUGAACAGCGCGCUGGUAAACAUGUACAACAAGUGCGGAUGCAUCGAGUGCGCGACCAAAGCCUUCGUCGAGAUGCCAACACGGACACCUGUCACGUGGACCUCUAUGAUUUCAGGGUACUCGCAGCAUGGCCGGUCCCGAGAUGCGAUACAGCUCUUUGAGGACAUGAUAUUAUCUGGCGCCAAACCAAACGAGAUCACAUUCGUAAGUUUGCUGUCAGCCUGCAGCUAUGCUGGUUUAGUCGAGGAGGCUGAGCGCUACUUUGACAUGAUGCGGAGUGAGUAUCAUAUAGAGCCUCUUGUGGACCAUUACGGGUGCAUGGUUGACAUGUUCGUGCGAUUGGGCCGGCUGGAUGAUGCAUUUUCCUUCAUCAAGAGAACAGGCUUUGAGCCGAACGAGGCCAUCUGGUCCAGUUUGGUAGCUGGAUGCCGGAGUCAUGGGAACAUGGAACUUGCUUUCUACGCCGCUGAUAGGCUCCUUGAGCUCAAGCCGAAAGUGAUUGAAACAUAUGUCUUGCUGUUGAACAUGUACGUGUCUACUGGUAGAUGGCGUGACGUCGCCAGGGUGCGGAAACUGGCCAAACAUGAAGAUGUCGGGGUUCUCAGAGACCGUAGCUGGAUUGCAAUCAGAGACAAGGUGUAUUUCUUCAGAGCUGAUGACAUGACUCACCCACAAGCUACAGAGUUGUAUCUAUUAUUGGAGAAUUUGCUGGAAAAGGCUAAGGCCGUAGGGUACGAACCGUACCAGAAUGCUCCUGAGUUAUUAUCUGACAGCAAGGAGGGCGACGAGGACAAGCCUGCUGCUGCUGCAGGUUCACUAAUAAAGCACCACAGUGAGAGGUUGGCUGUUGCACUGGGGCUGCUCAAAACACCUCCUGGUGCGACAGUCCGUGUGACCAAGAACAUCACCAUGUGCAGGGACUGCCACAGCUCUAUCAAAUACUUCUCACUACUCGCAAACAGAGAGAUUGUUGUCCGGGACAGCAAACGGCUUCACAAGUUCAAGGAUGGUCGGUGCUCGUGUGGGGAUUUCGGUGGUGCGCUCCUCCUGUGAUGCCGAAAAAUCUCAUGCGCACCGCGCUAUUCUAUUCCGAGAACAUGACAAUUUUUUGCAUUGGAAACAGUGAACUGUUGGGCAUGACAUAUGUCCGUCUUGCCACGAGAAGCUCUUCCCACGGUCUACAAUCGCUCCUACAUGGUAGAACAUGUCAAUUAAUCCAUCAAAGUUGCUUGCUCCAGUCCCAUGGCAACCGUGGAUGCACUAAAAGGAUAACCUACUACCAGAAAGAAGACCACGAGAAGGGUUGCCCACAUGCGCCAUGCUUCUGCCCUGAAACGAGUUGUGGCUUCAGCGGACCAACGGUGGUGCUUCUGGGCCACUUGUCAGGCAAGCAGCAGUGCCACUCCAAAUUCAUGUACAACAAGUUGAUCGAGGUCCACAUCCAGCUGGGACCAACCGUCCUCGCGGGCGAAGACAUGAUGUGUGCUCCUUGUCGGUGUCAUCCCCGUUGACAUGCCCGCAUGGGGUUGCUUUUGACAGGUGAGUACUUCUAAGUCUUGAUUUUUGGACGUGUAGAACUUGUGUUCUUUCAACAGAUCUCUAUUUUUGGGAACUGCAGUGAUGUUCUAUCUGAUUGCAGAGCACGGUUUGUACUCGGGGCAAAAUUAUUUGCCUGAAACUGUUUAAAGGUAUUACACAAUACAUUACCCCUCAAAAGAAACUACACAGGCUUUUUUCUGUCACUUGUGCCAUCUUACGAGGUAGACAGUCCAAUUUACUAACACUGAACCUACAUCAGGCUUUUCACAUCCUGAGAAUGUUGGCUGUUCAAAUAUAUUCAGAGUUAAUACCACAUUUGUCCUUAGGUUUCUUCAAUAAGAUUCAUUGUACGAUUAGUCAAUCUAGACCAUUGAAACUGGAUUGUAAUCUUAGAUAGUAACUCCAUAGUUUCAGAAGAAAAAUAUUAGUUCUACACUUUUGAUAUUGCCUGGCACUGUCAGGUACAUCUCUAUCAGUUACAUCUUCUAUCAGAUGAAAUCUUUCGAGUCCUUAUUAUCUACAGGCAGGUCGAAGAGUCCCGGGAGAUGAGCGUUGGUGAGCUUGGUCCUGCUGGUGAUCCCGCGCGGCUUCUUCCUGGCCUUCUCCGGCUCCGGUUGCCGGCCAUGGAUCUGCUCAGCGGCACGCCUCUUGGCCGUGUCGGUGGCCGGCUUCUCGCCGUUCUUCCGGAGCUCCUUCUCGACGUCCACCAUGUUUACCGGCAGCUUGAUGUCGUGGAACAUCUUCUUGAGCUCGGCGUCCACCUCCAUCCUCGACCUCGGGUCAUCCGGGUCUUCCAGCACGGAUGGAUACGCGUCCUCCACCUCCGACGCCGGGAGGCCGUCGGGGAAGCUUCCGACGAGCGAGAGCAGCUCGUCUUUGCCCCUGACGUCGUGCGUGCGCUUGUACGAGUAGCGCUCCCCGUCAAAGCGCACCUUGGGGUUGUUCCUCAGGCGCUCGGCGAUGGCGCCAUCGAUGUCGACGUAGGUUUUCUCGUUUAUCUGGUGCGCCGUGAGAGCUUCCCUCGUCCUCUCGAGCAGCGCGAUGACAUCUCUGAUCUGUUUUCCGACGGGGGACCUCCUAACUUCAUUGAUCUUCUGUAGGCGUGCUGUGUCAUCGGAGAAUCUGAUCUGUGCUCCGGCGGCCAACUUCCUCGCGGUGUUGGUCUCUUUUAGCCGCGCCGUGUCAUCGGAGAUUCUGACGGCAGGCACUGGCGGCGAUGGUUUAGCCGCCGGCCUUGGAGUUGGAGCUGCACCGGGUUGCUGCUGGGACGGCGACGGCCUGGUGGAUGAUGAUGAUGAAGAAGUUUUUGCUGCGGCGAUGGCGGAUAGAGCCGCUUGGUUCCUCUCCUGCUGCAGCUUGAACCUGGCGAGGCCAUCGUUCAAGGCCAUCGGUGCGUGGGUCAGUCCUUGAUCAAGGAAAGAAGAUGGUCGGAGCAGUACGGCGGCGAAGCGUUUGAAGCGCGCUGCAGACGGCGACGGUAGGCAGCCCUGCACGAGAGUAUAUACUCCUUAUUAUAGACGGAUGAGAGGAGGCAGCGACACGGCUUCGGAUUCAAAAUAAACGGAGUAGACGGCUUCGUGUGCAAGACGGUUAAGGGCCCGUUCCUUUGGUGGCAUUUUUUGGAAGCCAACCAAUUUUUUGUAUAAGCCUAGUACUACUAGUUAAGUCUUAAUUAGGCGAACCAACUUGUGGUUGAAUGGUUAGAGGGACUGUGGUAUUCCCAGCCCAUCAGGGUUCAAAUUCCGGUGCUCGCAUUUAGCUCAGUCUUUCGGAGGUGCUCAUAGGGGUAGGGUGUGCGUGUGUGCGUUCA